UAUGAGAGGUUUGAAUACUCUGAAACUGCGAAUGGCUCAUUACAUCAGUAACAAUUUCUUUGAUGGUCCCCUUGCUACUCGGAUACCCGUAGAAAAUCUAGAGCUAAUACGUGCACGAAGGCCCGACCUCGCGGAAGGGCUGCAGCUAUUAGAUACAAGACCGACCGCCUUCGGGCGACCCCCGGUGAAUCAUGAUGGCUUUGCGGAUCGCAGAGCGCCUUGCGCGCGGCGACGUAUCAUUCAAGUUUCUGCCCUAUCAACUUUGGACGGUAGGAUAGAGGCCUACCGUGGUGGUGACGGGUGACGGAGAAUCAGGGUUCGAUUCCGGAGAGGGAGCCUGAGAAACGGCUACCACAUCCAAGGAAGGCAGCAGGCGCGCAAAUUACCCAAUCCUGACGCAGGGAGGUAGUGACAAUACGUAGCGAUGCCGGGCCAACGGUCUGGCAAUCGAAAUGAGGGCAAACUAAACCCCACACCGAGGAUCUAUUGGAGGGCAAGUCUGGUGCCAGCAGCCGCGGUAAUUCCAGCUCCAAGAGCGUAUAUAAAAGUUGCUGCAGUUAAAAAGCUCGUAGUUGGAUGUAGACGGUCGCUCGCGGGGCGGUCCCGGCGCCUCUGGCCCGGAGCACCCCCCCGGCGUCCUCUGGCUGGCGAGCGUCGCGCCUGGGCUUCACCGCUCGGGCGCGGGCCUCGCCGAGGUUACUUUGAGUAAAUUGGAGUGUUCAAAGCAGGCGUUCGCCGUGAACACGUUAGCAUGGAAUAACGGCACAGGACUCUGGCCUGUCCCGUUGGUCUGCAGGACCGGAGUAAUGAUGAAGAGGAACAGUCGGGGGCAUUCGUAUUUCGCUGUCAGAGGUGAAAUUCUUGGAUUUGCGAAAGACGAACCACUGCGAAAGCAUUUGCCAAGGAUGUUUUCGUUAAUCAAGAACGAAAGUUGGGGGCUCGAAGACGAUUAGAUACCGUCCUAGUCUCAACCGUAAACGAUGCCGACUA
rnacentral:rRNA from 1 species